AACAUUCCUUUGAACACCACAAUAAAUAAAAGCAAAACCAUUUACGUGACAUUCAUGUUAAGAAGUUGAAACUGCUUAAUUUGAAUUCAAGCAUGAAUGCAAUAUACUACAACCUUAAUUAGCAAGAAUGCAACAUAUCUAACUGAAAAGAAAACAAAAAAGAUGUUUAUAUAGCAUACAAGUUCAUAUGCUCCUGUUCCCAUUCAAUAAUAUGUUAUACAACAUAAAUGCAUUCACUUAACCAAAGCGGUCGAUCAGCCAAGCCAUAUCUUGUGUCUCCCCUCUGGCCCUCUUGCUAUUGAGGUUGAAAGAGUUUAUAAUAGGGUAAGCUUCAUUUACGGUGCUUCAGCCAAACCCUUUUUCUUUUGUCAACGAUCAUUCAUUAAAAAUGUCUAGCAACACUUACAAAACAUACAAAAUGCAUGCUAAACAGAGUGUUACAACAGUGUACAAUAUAUCGACAAUGGCGAUCAGACACGCACACUAAAAAUUAACAACAAAAACACAAAAAAAGAUUAAAAAAAUCCCAUUAAUUAAUGAACUGAUCCGUGGACACGGUCAAGAAAUUGAAGCCCAAGGGUGUGACUAUCGUGGAGCAAGAAGUGAACCACAAUGGGCCGGUUUUUCUGAACAUCAAGGAUGCAUAACUGAAACUUCUUAAAGCUUGGGUUUUUCUAAGGUGUUCGAAUUCAGUUUUGGGAACAAACAUGGGAAGGCAUAUAAGAUCAAUGCAGAUGCGUUUUGAGUAGAGAAAGAUAUCAAAAGCGUUAGAACAAAGAAAAUAGGUGAGGGAGGCUAUGAUAUGGGAGUGGCAUGUAUGCAUGCUCUCUUAAUGCAUGAUAACAAUGUUAAGAGAUAUGAUGAUUGCAAGUGAGGAGUGAACCCUAUAUAAUAG
rnacentral:lncRNA from 1 species